rnacentral:rRNA from 1 species
GACGAACGCUGGCGGCGUGCUUAACACAUGCAAGUCGAACGGAAAGGCCCCUUUGGGGGUACUCGAGUGGCGAACGGGUGAGUAACACGUGAGUAACCUGCCCUUGACUUCGGGAUAACUUCAGGAAACUGGGGCUAAUACCGGCUAGGAAUCCUUGCUGCAUGGUGGGGGUUGGAAAGCUUCGGCGGUUUUGGAUGGACUCGCGGCUUAUCAGCUUGUUGGUGGGGUAGUGGCUUACCAAGGCUUUGACGGGUAGCCGGCCUGAGAGGGCGACCGGCCACAUUGGGACUGAGAUACGGCCCAGACGCCUACGGGAGGCAGCAGUGGGGAAUAUUGCACAAUGGGCGGAAGCCUGAUGCAGCAACGCCGCGUGCGGGAUGACGGCCUUCGGGUUGUAAACCGCUUUCAGCAGGGGCGAAGCUUGUGGUGACGGUACCUGCAGAAGAAGCACCGGCUAACUACGUG